UACGAAGGGUGCAAGCGUUACUCGGAAUUACUGGGCGUAAAGCGUGCGUAGGUGGUUUGUUAAGUCUGUUGUGAAAGCCCCGGGCUCAACCUGGGAAUGGCAAUGGAUACUGGCAGGCUAGAGUACUGUAGAGGGUAGUGGAAUUUCCGGUGUAGCGGUGAAAUGCGUAGAGAUCGGAAGGAACACCAGUGGCGAAGGCGGCUACCUGGACAGAUACUGACGCUGAGGCGCGAGAGCGUGGGGAGCAAACAGG
rnacentral:rRNA from 1 species